rnacentral:rRNA from 1 species
GACGAACGCUGGCGGCGUGCUUAACACAUGCAAGUCGAGCGAGAUCCAUCCAGUGGCAACACUGGUGAAGAUCUAGCGGCGAACGGGUGAGUAACACGUGAGCAACCUGCCCCGAAGACCGGGAUAACAGCGGGAAACCGCUGCUAAUACCGGAUGCCCUCACCGGGCCGCAUGACCUGGUGAGGAAAUGGCUGAGUCUUAAUAAACUCAGUCCGCUUCGGGAGGGGCUCGCGGGCUAUCAGCUUGUUGGUGAGGUAACGGCUCACCAAGGCUACGACGGCUAGCUGGUCUGAGAGGACGACCAGCCACACUGGGACUGAGACACGGCCCAGACUCCUACGGGAGGCAGCAGUGGGAAUCUUGCGCAAUGGGCGAAAGCCUGACGCAGCAACGCCGC